rnacentral:rRNA from 1 species
GGGUUGUGAGGUUAAGCGACUAAGCGUACACGGUGGAUGCCCUGGCAGUCAGAGGCGAUGAAGGACGUGCUAAUCUGCGAAAAGCGUCGGUAAGGUGAUAUGAACCGUUAUAACCGGCGAUGUCCGAAUGGGGAAACCCAGUGUGAUUCGUCACACUAUCGUUAACUGAAUACAUAGGUUAACGAGGCGAACCGGGGGAACUGAAACAUCUAAGUACCCCGAGGAAAAGAAAUCAACCGAGAUUCCCCCAGUAGCGGCGAGCGAACGGGGAGCAGCCCAGAGUCUGAAUCAGCUUGUGUGUUAGUGGAACGGUCUGGAAAGUCCGACGGUACAGGGUGAUAGUCCCGUACACCAAAAUGCACAGGUUGUGAACUCGAAGAGUAGGGCGGGACACGUGGUAUCCUGUCUGAAUAUGGGGGGACCAUCCUCCAAGGCUAAAUACUCCUGACUGACCGAUAGUGAACCAGUACCGUGAGGGAAAGGCGAAAAGAACCCCGGCGAGGGGAGUGAAAAAGAACCUGAAACCGUGUACGUACAAGCAGUGGGAGCACCUUCGGGUGUGACUGCGUACCUUUUGUAUAAUGGGUCAGCGACUUAUAUUCUGUAGCAAGGUUAACCGUAUAGGGGAGCCGCAGGGAAACCGAGUCUUAACUGGGCGUUAAGUUGCAGGGUAUAGACCCGAAACCCGGUGAUCUAGCCAUGGGCAGGUUGAAGGUUGGGUAACACUAACUGGAGGACCGAACCGACUAAUGUUGAAAAAUUAGCGGAUGACUUGUGGCUGGGGGUGAAAGGCCAAUCAAACCGGGAGAUAGCUGGUUCUCCCCGAAAGCUAUUUAGGUAGCGCCUCGUGAAUUCAUCUUCGGGGGUAGAGCACUGUUUCGGCUAGGGGGUCAUCCCGACUUACCAACCGAUGCAAACUACGAAUACCGAAGAAUGUUAUCACGGGAGACACACGGCGGGUGCUAACGUCCGUCGUGAAGAGGGAAACAACCCAGACCGCCAGCUAAGGUCCCAAAGUCAUGGUUAAGUGGGAAACGAUGUGGGAAGGCACAGACAGCCAGGAUGUUGGCUUAGAAGCAGCCAUCAUUUAAAGAAAGCGUAAUAGCUCACUGGUCGAGUCGGCCUGCGCGGAAGAUGUAACGGGGCUAAACCAUGCACCGAAGCUGCGGCAGCGACACUAUGUGUUGUUGGGUAGGGGAGCGUUCUGUAAGCCUGCGAAGGUGACCUGUGAGGGUUGCUGGAGGUAUCAGAAGUGCGAAUGCUGACAUAAGUAACGAUAAAGCGGGUGAAAAGCCCGCUCGCCGGAAGACCAAGGGUUCCUGUCCAACGUUAAUCGGGGCAGGGUGAGUCGACCCCUAAGGCGAGGCCGAAAGGCGUAGUCGAUGGGAAACAGGUUAAUAUUCCUGUACUUGGUGUUACUGCGAAGGGGGGACGGAGAAGGCUAUGUUAGCCGGGCGACGGUUGUCCCGGUUUAAGCAUGUAGGCUGGUUAUCCAGGCAAAUCCGGAUAAUCAAGGCUGAGGUGUGAUGACGAGGCACUACGGUGCUGAAGUAACAAAUGCCCUGCUUCCAGGAAAAGCCUCUAAGCAUCAGGUAACAUCAAAUCGUACCCCAAACCGACACAGGUGGUCAGGUAGAGAAUACCAAGGCGCUUGAGAGAACUCGGGUGAAGGAACUAGGCAAAAUGGUGCCGUAACUUCGGGAGAAGGCACGCUGGUGUGUAGGUGAAGUCCCUGCGGAUGGAGCUGAGACCAGUCGAAGAUACCAGCUGGCUGCAACUGUUUAUUAAAAACACAGCACUGUGCAAACACGAAAGUGGACGUAUACGGUGUGACGCCUGCCCGGUGCCGGAAGGUUAAUUGAUGGGGUUAUCCGUAAGGAGAAGCUCUUGAUCGAAGCCCCGGUAAACGGCGGCCGUAACUAUAACGGUCCUAAGGUAGCGAAAUUCCUUGUCGGGUAAGUUCCGACCUGCACGAAUGGCGUAAUGAUGGCCAGGCUGUCUCCACCCGAGACUCAGUGAAAUUGAACUCGCUGUGAAGAUGCAGUGUACCCGCGGCAAGACGGAAAGACCCCGUGAACCUUUACUAUAGCUUGACACUGAACAUUGAGCCUUGAUGUGUAGGAUAGGUGGGAGGCUUUGAAGCGUGGACGCCAGUCUGCGUGGAGCCAACCUUGAAAUACCACCCUUUAAUGUUUGAUGUUCUAACGUUGGCCCCUUACCGGGGUUGCGGACAGUGUCUGGUGGGUAGUUUGACUGGGGCGGUCUCCUCCCAAAGCGUAACGGAGGAGCACGAAGGUUAGCUAAUCCUGGUCGGACAUCAGGAGGUUAGUGCAAUGGCAUAAGCUAGCUUGACUGCGAGCGUGACGGCGCGAGCAGGUGCGAAAGCAGGUCAUAGUGAUCCGGUGGUUCUGAAUGGAAGGGCCAUCGCUCAACGGAUAAAAGGUACUCCGGGGAUAACAGGCUGAUACCGCCCAAGAGUUCAUAUCGACGGCGGUGUUUGGCACCUCGAUGUCGGCUCAUCACAUCCUGGGGCUGAAGUAGGUCCCAAGGGUAUGGCUGUUCGCCAUUUAAAGUGGUACGCGAGCUGGGUUUAGAACGUCGUGAGACAGUUCGGUCCCUAUCUGCCGUGGGCGCUGGAGAAUUGAGGGGGGCUGCUCCUAGUACGAGAGGACCGGAGUGGACGCAUCACUGGUGUUCGGGUUGUCAUGCCAAUGGCAUUGCCCGGUAGCUAAAUGCGGAAGAGAUAAGUGCUGAAAGCAUCUAAGCACGAAACUUGCCCCGAGAUGAGUUCUCCCUGAGACUUUAAGUCUCCUGAAGGAACGUUAAAGACGAUGACGUUGAUAGGCCGGGUGUGUAAGCGCAGCGAUGCGUUGAGCUAACCGGUACUAAUGAACCGUGAGGCUUAACCUUACAACGCCGAAG